rnacentral:rRNA from 1 species
GACGAACGCUGGCGGCGUGCUUAACACAUGCAAGUCGAACGGAAAGGCCCUGCUUUUGUGGGGUGCUCGAGUGGCGAACGGGUGAGUAACACGUGAGUAACCUGCCCUUGACUUUGGGGUAACUUCAGGAAACUGGGGCUAAUACCGGAUAGGAGAUCCUGCUGCAUGGUGGGGGUUGGAAAGUUUCGGCCGUUGUGGAUGGACUCGCGGGUUAUCAGCUUGUUGGUGGGGUAGUGGAUUACCAAGGCUGUGACGGGUAGCCGGCCUGAGAGGGUGACCGGCCACAUUGGGACUGAGAUACGGCCCAGACUCCUACGUGAGGCAGCAGUGGGGAAUAUUGCACAAUGGGCGGAAGCCUGAUGCAGCAACGCCGCGUGCGUGAUGACGGCUUUCGGGUUGUAAACCGCUUUCGCCUGUGACGAAGCGUGAGUGACGGUAAUGGGUAAAGAAGCACCGGCUAACUACGUG